rnacentral:rRNA from 1 species
AUUGAACGCUGGCGGCAUGAUUUACACAUGCAAGUCGAACGGUAACAGGCCGCAAGGUGCUGACGAGUGGCGAACGGGUGAGUAAUGCAUCGGAACGUGCCCAGUCGUGGGGGAUAACUACUCGAAAGAGUAGCUAAUACCGCAUACGAUCUAUGGAUGAAAGCGGGGGACCGUAAGGCCUCGCGCGAUUGGAGCGGCCGAUGUCAGAUUAGGUAGUUGGUGGGGUAAAGGCUCACCAAGCCAACGAUCUGUAGCUGGUCUGAGAGGGCGACCAGCCACACUGGGACUGAGACACGGCCCAGACUCCUACGGGAGGCAGCAGUGGGGAAUUUUGGACAAUGGGCGCAAGCCUGAUCCAGCAAUGCCGCGUGCAGGAAGAAGGCCUUCGGGUUGUAAACUGCUUUUGUACGGAACGAAACGGCUCUGGUUAAUACCCGGGGCUAAUGACGGUACCGUAAGAAUAAGCACCGGCUAACUACGUG